AUCGAACGCUAGCGGCAUGCCUUACACAUGCAAGUCGAACGGAGUGGCGAACGGGUGAGUAAUGUAUCGGAACGUGCCCAGUAGCGGGGGAUAACUACGCGAAAGCGUAGCCAAUACCGCAUACUAUUGGAGCGGCUGAUGUCGGAUUAGCUAGUUGGUGGGGUAACGGCUAACCAAGGCGACGAUGCGUAGCUGGUUUGAGAGGACGACCCGCCACACUGGGACGGAGACACGGCCCAGACUCCUACGGGAGGCAGCAGUGGGGAAUGUUGGACAAUGGGGGAAACCCUGAUCCAGCAAUCCCGCGUGAGCGAUGAAGACCUUCGGGUUGUAAAGCACUUUUGGCAGGAAAGCGGUACCUGAAGAGUAAGCAACGGCUAACUACGUGCCAGCAGCCGCGGUAAUAC
rnacentral:rRNA from 1 species